rnacentral:rRNA from 1 species
UACAGAGGGGGCAAGCGUUGUUCGGAAUUACUGGGCGUAAAGGGCGCGUAGGCGGCCCGCUAAGUCGAACGUGAAAUCCCCGAGCUCAACUCGGGAACUGCGUCCGAUACUGGUGGGCUUGAAUCCGGGAGAGGGAUGCGGAAUUCCAGGUGUAGCGGUGAAAUGCGUAGAUAUCUGGAGGAACACCGGUGGCGAAGGCGGCUUUCUGGACAGAUACCGACGCUGAGGCACGAAAGCUAGGGGAGCAAACAGG